rnacentral:rRNA from 1 species
GUGAUCCUACGGGAGACAGCAGUAGGGAAUUUUCGCCAAUGGGCGCAAGCCUGAACGAGCAAUGCCGCGUGAGUGAGGAAGGUCUUCGGAUCGUAAAGCUCUGUUGCGGGGGAAAAAGGACAGGAAGAGGAAAUGCUUUCUGUUUGAUGGUACCCCGCCAGAAAGUCACGGCUAACUACGUGCCAGCAGCCGCGGUAAUACGUAGGUGGCGAGCGUUAUCCGGAAUGAUUGGGCGUAAAGGGUGCGCAGGCGGCAUGUCAAGUCUGAAGUGUAAGUGACGGGCUUAACCUGU